UACGUAGGGGGCAAGCGUUGUCCGGAAUCAUUGGGCGUAAAGCGCGUGUAGGCGGCCAGGUAAGUCCGUUCUGAAAGCCCGGGGCUCAACCCCGGGAGGCGGAUGGAUACUGCUUGGCUCGAGUCCGGAAGAGGUGAGUGGAAUUCCCGGUGUAGCGGUGAAAUCCGUAGAUAUUGGGAGGAACACCGAUGGCGUAGGCAGAUAACUGGCUCGUUCCUGACACUAAGGCACGAAAGCGUGGGGAGCAAACGGG
rnacentral:rRNA from 1 species